CUGCUCAUGAAUAAUAUAAAUAGCCGCAGAAUUUUUACUGUGCUAAGGUAGCAUAAUCAUUUGCCUUUUAAUUAAAGGCUAGUAUGAAAGAUCCAACAUUUAAAUUCUUAUAUAAAAAUUAAAAUUUAAAUUUAUUCUAAAUGUAAAAAAACAUUUAUAACAAAGAAAGACGACAAGACCCUAUCGAACUUUAACUUUAGUUAAGCUGGGGCAGCUUAUUAACUCAAUUCUUAAUAUACAUAAUUAAACAAAUCGACCCAAUACAAUUGAUCUCAUGAUCAAGUUACCGUAGGGAUAACAGCGUAAUAUUUUUCUAAAGAUCUUAUUUAAAAAAAAGAUUGCGACCUCGAUGUUGAAUUGAUAUACCUAUUAAACGCACCUGUUUAAAAAGGAGGUCUGUUCGACCUUUAAUUUAUCACAUGAUCUGAGU
rnacentral:rRNA from 1 species